rnacentral:rRNA from 1 species
UACGUAGGGGGCUAGCGUUGUCCGGAAUUAUUGGGCGUAAAGAGCUCGUAGGCGGUGUGUCGCGUCGGCCGUGAAAACCUGCAGCUUAACUGUGGGCUUGCGGUCGAUACGGGCAUCACUGGAGUUCGGCAGGGGAGACUGGAAUUCCUGGUGUAGCGGUGAAAUGCGCAGAUAUCAGGAGGAACACCGGUGGCGAAGGCGGGUCUCUGGGCCGUAACUGACGCUGAGGAGCGAAAGCGUGGGGAGCGAACAGG